CCUACGGGAGGCAGCAGUGAGGAAUAUUGGUCAAUGGGCGAGAGUCUGAACCAGCCACGUAGCGUGAAGGAUGACUUCCCUAUGGGUGUUAAACUUCUUUUAUAUGGGAGUAAAUGGUUCCACGUGUGGGAUUUUGUAUGUACCAUAUGAAUAAGGAUCGGCUAACUCCGUGCAAGCAGCCGCGGUAAUACGGAGGGUCCGGGCGUUAUCCGGAUUUAAUGGGUUUAACGGGAGAGUAGGUGGAUUGUUAAGUCAGUGGGGAAAGGUUGCGGCUCAACCGUAAAAUUGCAGUUGAAACUGGCAGUCUUGAGUACAGUAGAGGUGGGCGGAAUGCGUGGUGUAGCGGUGAAAUGCUUAGAUAUCACGAAGAACUCCGAUUGCGAAGGCAGUUCACUGGACUGCAACUGACACUGAGGCUCGAAAGUGUGGGUAUCAAACAGGAUUAGAUACCCUUGUAGUC
rnacentral:rRNA from 1 species